rnacentral:lncRNA from 1 species
AACAAUGAAUCCACCUAACAAAAAAUUUGUUGUCAUAAAAAAUCUCAUUCAAGGUCAUUAAAGGUUUUUGGGACGGCAAAAGUUGAUGGUGGAACCAUUUUUUUGCUCGAGUGCUUUGAAGUUUUCCUUGAUAGAGUGAGGUUGAUAUUGAUGGAAUAAUGAGUUUUAUAGGGAUUUUCUUGAUGUAAAACUAUACAUUUUUUUGGUCAAAUGUGGUAUUUCCAUUUUUAUAUAAUUUACUACCAUUUUAAGAUAGAUGUAUAGUUUAAGAUAGAUGUUUAAAUCUUAAUGUACUUUUUCCA